rnacentral:rRNA from 1 species
GAUGAACGCUGGCGGCGUGCCUAAUACAUGCAAGUCGAGCGAACAGACGAGGAGCUUGCUCCUCUGACGUUAGCGGCGGACGGGUGAGUAACACGUGGAUAACCUACCUAUAAGACUGGGAUAACUUCGGGAAACCGGAGCUAAUACCGGAUAAUAUAUUGAACCGCAUGGUUCAAUAGUGAAAGACGGUUUUGCUGUCACUUAUAGAUGGAUCCGCGCCGCAUUAGCUAGUUGGUAAGGUAACGGCUUACCAAGGCAACGAGGCGUAGCCGACCUGGGAGGGUGAGCGCCAACACGGGAACGGAGCAACGGCCAAGACUCCUAAGGGGGGCAGCAGAGGGGAAUCUUCAGCAAGGGGCAAAGCCAGGAGGGACAAACGCGGCGGGAGUAAGAAAGGUCUUAGGAUCAAAAAACUUGUUUAUAGGGAAAAAAAAAAGGUGAAAAAAACUAGGCACGUCUUGACGGAACAUAAUAAAAAAGCAACGGCAAACUACGUC